rnacentral:rRNA from 1 species
GAUGAACGCUGGCGGCGUGCCUAAUACAUGCAAGUCGAGCGAAUGGAUUAAGAGCUUGCUCUUAUGAAGUUAGCGGCGGACGGGUGAGUAACACGUGGGUAACCUGCCCAUAAGACUGGGAUAACUCCGGGAAACCGGGGCUAAUACCGGAUAACGUUUUGAACCGCAUGGUUCGAAAUUGAAAGGCGGCUUCGGCUGUCACUUAUGGAUGGACCCGCGUCGCAUUAGCUAGUUGGUGAGGUAACGGCUCACAAAGGCAACGAUGCGUAGCCGACCUGAGAGGGUGGUCGGCCACACUGGGACUGAGACACGGCCCAGACUCCUACGGGAGGAAGCAGUAGGGAAUCUUCCGCAAUGGACGAAAGUCUGACGGAGCAACGCCGCGUGAGUGAUGAAGGCUUUCGGGUCGUAAAACUCUGUUGUUAGGGAAGAACAAGUGCUAGUUGAAUAAGCUGGCACCUUGACGGUACCUAACCAGAAAGCCACGGCUAACUACGUGCCAGCAGCCGCAGUAA